CUCCGAAAGCAAAGUAACAGGGGGGAGAGUAAAAAUGGAAAGCUCCUAAAGCUUAGUUCCAUAUAAAUGCACGGAUAAUUUGUUGUUUAGUCGUUAGUGAAAAAAACAUUGACCUUGUAGUUGAAAAAGGAGCCUCAUACAAGAAUGCCAUUUCCUCCUAUGGAGUCCAUUCAUUCGCAUUUGGAGAUCGACUCUUUUUGACUGGCAAGAUAGCAGCGACCGGAAACACCAACUGCUAAAGGCCCUGGGACCCUCUGACUCCAGGUGGACCCCUGUUUCCCUGCAUGCCCCGCGGGCCAGGUGUGCCAGACGGCCCCUCGAUUCCAGGCUGGCCUCGACUUCCCUCGGGACCUCUUUGGCCAGGCUCGCCGGGGUUACCAACCUUAAUAGAAAAUAAGACCAGAGAAAUGUGACGAAACUGCAGCACUGCCUCAAUUGUUUGACACCACGAGAAAAUACUGAGGUACCAGGAUAAAAUAAUCAGCUUGAACUCACCUCUCCUUUAGGUCCUGAUUCUCCUGACUCACCCUAUAGCGCCAUUUUUAAAACACAGAGGACAGAAACAGGGACAAUCGUAUUCUGGUGAGAUUCUCUUCUGAAUAGGAUUGUUGAAUGGUUCAUAAGUUAAAUGAAUAGUGUUGAAUAGUGUUGUUGUAACAACUUACAAUAUCCCCUUUGUCUCCAGCGUCUCCCUCAUCACCUUGUGAUCCCUAUGAAAACACAGUCUGUAAAUGAUUCAUGCAAAGCAACCUAUUUACAUAUUAAAAUGCAGCAUUACUAUUA